rnacentral:rRNA from 13 species
UUGUCUCAAAGAUUAAGCCAUGCAUGUCUCAGUACAAGCCGCAUUAAGGUGAAACCGCGAAAGGCUCAUUAAAUCAGUUAUGGUUCCUUAGAUCGUACCCACACUUACUUGGAUAACUGUGGUAAUUCUAGAGCUAAUACAUGCAAACAGAGCUCCGACCGGAGACGGGAGGAGUGCUUUUAUUAGAUCAAAACCAAUCGGCGGCGGGCGCGCUCGCGCGUCCGUUCGCCGCUCAACCUGGUGACUCUGAAUAACUUUCCGCUGAUCGCACGGUCUCGCACCGGCGACGCAUCUUUCAAAUGUCUGCCUUAUCAACUGUCGAUGGUAGGUUCUGCGCCUACCAUGGUCGUAACGGGUAACGGGGAAUCAGGGUUCGAUUCCGGAGAGGGAGCCUGAGAAACGGCUACCACAUCCAAGGAAGGCAGCAGGCGCGCAAAUUACCCACUCCCGGCACGGGGAGGUAGUGACGAAAAAUAACGAUACGGGACUCAUCCGAGGCCCCGUAAUCGGAAUGAGUACACUUUAAACCCUUUAACAAGUACCCAUUGGAGGGCAAGUCUGGUGCCAGCAGCCGCGGUAAUUCCAGCUCCAAUAGCGUA